UCUUCAAGAAUGUUCUACAAAGAGUGACCAAUUUACGUAACAAAACAAUCCCUUAAAUCAUCAGAAUACCAAAAUCUGAAAAUCCCUAAUUCCCCAAUUUCAUAUAAUCUUCAACCUGAAAGAAGAGAGAUUAAACGAUGUCUCACUUCGGAAGAACUGGUCCUCCUGAUAUCGCCGAUACUUACUCUCUUCUCGUCCUCAACAUCACUUUCCGAACUACACCCGAUGAUUUGUUUCCGUUGUUUGAUAAGUAUGGCAAGGUUGUCGACAUCUUUAUUCCUCGUGAUCGAAGGACUGGAGAAUCCCGUGGUUUCGCCUUUGUUCGAUACAAGUAUGCUGAUGAAGCUCAGAAGGCUGUGGAUAGGCUAGAUGGAAGGGUUGUGGAUGGUAGAGAAAUAGCUGUCCAAUUCGCAAAAUAUGGUCCAAAUGCAGAGAAAAUUCAAAAAGGAAGGAUCGUUGAGUCUAUUUCCAAGGUCCGAAGUCCAAGGCGGAGGUACCGAGAUGAUUACGAUAGAGAUAGGGCAUAUUCCAGAAGAAGUCGUAGUAGAAGCUUGGACAGGUAUGAUCGUGACAGGUAUCGUGGAAGGGACAGAGAUUAUCGUCGCCGAAGUAGGAGUCGCAGUUACACUCCUGAAAAAUAUAGAAGUCGGGGACGAGACCGCUAUGAUGAUGACAGAUGCUAUCGAAGCAUAUCAGCUGAAAGUGCCUCUCCAAGUCGAAGUUGGAGUCCAAGUAGAAAUAUUUCACCACGGCGAAGUGCUUCACCUCGUAGUCCAUCUCGUUCAAGGAGUCGUAGUCCAGUGAAGCACAGCCCUGAUGAACGUGCAGCAGUCCCUUGCCGUUCGGCAUCUCCACAGGCUGUUUCUCCACAUAAUGGAGCUGGAGGCUCUUGAGCCCUUCUCCGCAAAAAUCAGUUGAGCUAAGUUAUUGAGCUUAUCUAAGUUCUCCCACUUGAGGUCCAAAUAUCUUAUUAGGUGGUGUCUUGGAAUUGGCAGGCGUGAACUCAGCUGAAAACUGGAGCAGUGAUUUGUUGCAGAUGAACAACUCUAGAGGUCACUUGAUGAUGUAGAAUGAUUUUGUGCAUCCGUAGCUUGGAGUAUUGAGUUAGGCUUUUGGAUAGGAGUGGAAAACUGGAAACGUUUAUGGCUAUGAUGUAUUUGCACCCUGCGCUGUGGGUUUGCUUCAAUAUACUUUUGGAUCUUUCUGAUGCUGAGAUUGAGAAGAAUUGUGGAAGUUUGAUAAGAUGAAUGAUGUGAUGUUGGUGACGCUGAUGGCGUUUGUGAUUGUUUGAUGGAUGCUGCAAUUCUUUAUGUUGAUAGCGACAAUCAACAUACCGGCUGCCGAGCUGAUACUUUCUGAUUGCUGUUUUAUAUGGUCUAUGGGCCUUUAUGAGGGAAAGACUGGUGCUGUUGCAACUUGACCUUAUUGUUAUAAAAUCCUGCUAGUUGCAUAAGAAAACAAGAUUCAAUGAGAUGAAUGGGUGUGUAGCUGUGCUGUUGGUCCUGCUUCUUCCAAUGCUCAUGGCUCAUGAUUGUAGCUGUCAAGCAGUUGCGGAGUUCUGCCUGUAGUUUGAGAUUUUCGUGUUGCUUGGUCGUAGCUUUGCUGAAAAGCUUUUUGGUGGCUGUUGGUGGCCUGUAGUUGGGUUUGGGUCGGGCUAUCUAAGAUAGAACUGUUGUUUGUUUUGACCAUCAUGUAGCUGUUCCUGGCUCGAGGUUUUCCCGACUGCCAGAGUGCCAGUAGAGCUGUUUGAUUUUGAGCACAUCUUUAUUUUAUACAGAUUUAGUUGUGUACGGCCAAAAGCAAGAGUAUUUAUUUGAGGUGCAAAAGUGUGUCUUGCAUGCCCUUGGUAUUUUCUCACAUCAUGAUGUAGUCUAUGCUUGUUGCUGAUUCUGAAGUUGUUCUUUAUUGAAUCUCGCUUUAACUUAGGAACUAGUAUGUGAGCGGAAUCUAAUCUGUUAGUUUGUUUACCAGUUUAUUACU